AGGAUGUGCCCAGAGGGCGCCCUUCCUUCAGAGGCCUCGUUUGCCCGACACUUACGACAGGCCUUAGGACGUAAGGCGUGGACGUGCGUGACGUCACCCUCUGGCCUGCGAGAUGGCGAGGGCAAGUAGCGGGGCCGAUGCUCCCUUGGGAUCCGGGUGUGGCUCGGCUCAGGUAACGCCCGGCCCUAGGACUCCUUCGGCCUCCGCCCACGGGGAGUGCUGAGACUGCCGGCCGGUGUGCUGGCGACCUUUACCCAGGCUUGGUCAAGGCUUCCUGGCUGGCGCAACUGCACUGGCCUCGCAGUGGACGCCUGCUGGUGACCUUUACUCUGUUAAACCAUCUUCCUGCUCUCCCAGUGAGAGCCUCAAAGCUGGGGAAGUGAAUGGAUGAACUGGGAGAUGUCUGACUCGACUUAGAAUUUCUGAAGCAUGCACACUAUGGCUAAGUUUCAGACUGAAAAGCCAGAAAAAACAGGUAGAAGUUACAAGAAAGAAAAAGUCUUUUUAGAAACACCACAAAGAAAAUGAUCAACAAUCAAGAACAGACAAAAGCAGAAUGGAUUGGCUGUGUGGAAGGUUUUUGUUUUAUGAGUGUGUGUAUAUGCAUGACUGUAUGUAUGGUACACGUGUGUGCAGUUGCCCUAGGAGGCCAGGAGAGGGCACUGCAUCUUCAGGAACUGGAAUUACUGGUGGUUGCAAGCUGCCUAAUGUAGGAUAUGGGAGCCAGACUCACAUCUUGAGAACCAAACUUGUGUCCGUAGGAAGAACAGCAAGUGCUCUUAACAGAUGAAGUAUCUUUCCAGCCCUACUUUGGAAGUGUUUAAACUGAGAUAAGGUGGCUUUCUGUCUUAAUUCCCUAAGAAUAAAGAAAAAAGUUUGUUGUAUGUGUUUCUACGCAGAUUGUGAAGCCAGAAGUUGACAUUAAACAUCUUCCUUGACC
rnacentral:lncRNA from 1 species